rnacentral:rRNA from 1 species
UGGAGGGCAAGUCUGGUGCCAGCAGCCGCGGUAAUUCCAGCUCCAAUAGCGUAUAUUAAAGUUGUUGCAGUUAAAAAGCUCGUAGUUGAAUUUCGGGGUUCUACCGUUGGUCGGGCUUUGUCUGUACUGGUGUGUAGAAUUUCUACCUUCUGGGGAACCAUCAUGCUAUUAAUUUAGCGUGGUGGGAAACCAGGACCUUUACCUUGAAAAAAUUAGUGUGUUCAAAGCAGGCUUAUGUCUGAAUACAUUAGCGUGGAAUAAUAGAAUAGGACGGUGGUCCUGUUUUGUUGGUUUCUGAAUCACCGUAAUGAUUAAUAGGGAUAGUUGGGGGCAUUAGUAUUCAAUUGUCAGAGGUGAAAUUCUUGGAUUUAUUGAAGACUAACUUCUGCGAAAGCAUUUGCCAAGGAUGUUUUCAUUAAUCAAGAACGAAAGUUAGGGGAUCGAAGACGAUCAGAUACCGUCGUAGUCUUAACCAUAAACUAUGCCGACUAGGGAUCGGACGAUGUUAAUUUUUCUUGACUCGUUCGGCGCCUUACGGGAAA